rnacentral:lncRNA from 7 species
AGGUCACAGUCAUGCAGUAUUCUGUGAUGUGGAGAAUUUUACUGUCAAGUGAGAGACAAAUGCUGAAUCUUUGCCUUAUUCUAACCAGGCCUUUUGCCAGCAAGGUCUCAAAGCCAAGAAAAUGUUGGAAAAAUAAGCUCUCAUCUCAAGUAUACUACUGUGAAAGGAAACAUUCGCUAGCCAGGAGUACAGCGUUUUUAAGAACCCAGCAGCUCACAUCAGAUACUACCUGCUGUCCAAGAAUGCACUGAGAACUGGGAGUGACCAGCAGCUGCACAGCUGACCUCAGAAAUGCUUGCCAGUAUGUGCAAUAUGCAUGGUAAAACAAGCCCGUAUUUUCCAGAAGAAUACUUUCCUUGGUUAAGAACAAAGAAUCAGAAUGCUCCAAUUCUUACAGAAUGGGAACCUGAACAGAAUACUGAAGAGCUUUUUUUCUAUGGUGUAUUGAAGACAUGCAGGGAGGAAAAGGAAAUAACAAAAUGAAACAAAAGAAAUGGAAAACCAUCUUUUAGUGGAAAACAUGAAAAAUGUUGUGAUUAGCAUAACAAUAUCACAGCUCCUGUACUAACCCAUAAAUUUGCAUUUAAACAAAUUAAAUACUGUAGGUCAUUUUUCUGCAGUUUAAGAAUUCUAAAGAAAAAUGUCAGUUACUUUAAUCUGUAGCU